rnacentral:sRNA from 1 species
GCUGAGUGUGAUGGCACAUACCUGUAGUCCCAGUUAUGUGGGAGGCUGAGGUGGAAGAAAUACUUGAUCCAGGAAUUCAAGAAUAGCCUUGGCAACAUAGUAAGACUGUGUCUCAA